rnacentral:tRNA from 1 species
GGCCUUAUCGUCUAACGGUUAGGACGGAGCCCUCUCAAGGCUCAAAUACGGGUUCGAUUCCCGUUAAGGCUACCA